rnacentral:lncRNA from 1 species
AAGUGAUUGUCUGUGUCAGGGAGAUUUGGUCCUCUCUGCCUCUCUCAGUCCAUGUGCAGAGCAGAUCAAAGACCUGAAUUACCUCUGCCUUUCCAAAGACAGCCAGAUGGUGUCUUGAUUUUUUUUUUCUUUUUUCAGAUUUGUUAGCAAUAGAAUUCAAAGGACGAAAGAAUCUGUGUGAUGCUACAGAUGAAAGCUCUACCCAGAGCCAUAUAUUCAAGGGCAAAGAUUAUGUUUUAUAAUGAGAAGCAGCAUGAUAUGAUGGAAGGAGGUGAAGUUUUGCAGUUAAACAGAUUGUCCCAUCUUAUGGACAGUGAAACUGAGAAUUAAUCAGAUGAAGUAACUUGUCCAGUCAUACUGCUGUUAAGUGAUGGAGUCUGGAUGAGAAUCCAGGUUAGUGUAAUUCAAAAGAGAAUUACUAUGAGAGUACUAUGAAGUACUCUCCCUUCCUUCAUAUUCCCGAAUGACAAAGGAUC